rnacentral:rRNA from 1 species
AUUGAACGCUGGCGGCAUGCCUUACACAUGCAAGUCGAACGGCAGCACGGGAGCAAUCCUGGUGGCGAGUGGCGAACGGGUGAGUAAUAUAUCGGAACGUGCCCAGUCGUGGGGGAUAACGCAGCGAAAGCUGUUCUAAUACCGCAUACGAUCUAAGGAUGAAAGCGGGGGAUCGCAAGACCUCGCGCGAUUGGAGCGGCCGAUAUCAUCAUAGCGAGUUGGUGGGGGAAAGGCCCACCAAGGCGACGAUCUGUAGCUGGUCUGAGAGGACGACCAGCCACACUGGAACUGAGACACGGUCCAGACUCCUACGGGAGGCAGCAGUGGGGAAUUUUGGACAAUGGGCGCAAGCCUGAUCCAGCAAUGCCGCGUGCAGGAUGAAGGCCUUCGGGUUGUAAACUGCUUUUGUACGGAACGAAACGGCCCUUUCUAAUACAGGGGGCUAAUGACGGUACCGUAAGAAUAAGCACCGGCUAACUACGUGCCAGCAGCCGCCGUAAAAC